ACGUAGGUGGCAAGCGUUAUCCGGAAUUAUUGGGCGUAAAGCGCGCGCAGGCGGUUUCUUAAGUCUGAUGUGAAAGCCCACGGCUCAACCGUGGAGGGUCAUUGGAAACUGGGGAACUUGAGUGCAGAAGAGAAAAGCGGAAUUCCACGUGUAGCGGUGAAAUGCGUAGAUAUCUGGAGGAACACCUGCGGCGAAGGCGGGUUGCUGGGCUGACACUGACGCUGAACUGCGAAAGCUAGGGGAGCGAACGGGA
rnacentral:rRNA from 1 species